rnacentral:ncRNA from 1 species
GAUAAUCCUGGGUGACUGGGAAAAAAGGGCUGGCUAGGCUGAUUGGCCAGCCCCCUCCAAGACAGUAUGGCGAACCGCACUUUCGGGUGAGGGGAGACAAGCUGCCGAUUGGAGGCAGGAUUCACCAGGGUCGCAGGGAUGGAUUUCCCGCUCGUUUCCGGUUUCGGCUGGAAACAAGGUACCGGUUAGUUUGCUUCGGUUUGCUAAAAAGUACUUGGGGGGAGUCGAUCCACAAAAAACUGCGGGCUUGGCCGCGAGGGGCGAACUAGGAGCCGCCCCGAGCCCGGUUGAAGCAACAGCCGGAUCAUGCGAACCUUCGGGCGAACGUGGUGGAGUCAGGAUUCGAGCCUGCUCCGGGCUAGAAUCCAAUCAUAGUUACCUAACAGGUAAAGGUUGCCACUAUGUCAUCAGCACGGUAUGGACCAAAAAUUGGCUGGUAACAGCCAGCCGGACGAAAUCUGCCGAAAGGCGGGACAAAGCCGGGGUUCAAACCGGGAUGGCCACUGGCUCAAGACAAGAGCCGUGAAAACCAUCCGCCCCGGCGGCGAUGCGACAAACCGCAGCGCUGCCAAGCAAGAUGAGCGCAACCUGAGAGGUAAGAGGCGAGACCCGUUGCACGGGCCAACGCACCGCCAAAAGCGGUGGCCGACCUUGUGCCAGGGAGUGGAGAGGCAAAUCACUUGCAGAUGUCUCUUCGCCGAGUCCGGAAGCCCGGGGCUGCAACCCCGAGCCAAAGGGCAAAUAAGCCUCACUCGAAAAUUCAGGAUCGCAAGACCCUGAACGGCCCCGUCAUGAGGCCGACAACUCCGCGAGUCACGGAGAGUGGCGUCGGGGAGCCAUCGACCUGCAAUGCAGGUGCCCAACGAUGGCACAUGGGAAAGAGAGCGUGGCGAACUCC